CUUGGUCAUUUAGAGGAAGUAAAAGUUAUAAUAAGGUCUCCGUUAGUAAACUAGCGGAGGGAUUAUUACUGAGUCCCUAACUCCUAUAACCCCCUAUAAACGAAGUAACCUAUUGCCUCGGCGGCGCGGCCCCUAACCCCCCCGGCGAGCCCUAGCGGCCCGGCGGGGGGGCGGGGCGGCCGCCGUAGGAGCCCUAGACGCCCGUCUUUAGUUGGCGCCUUAGUGUCCCGGUAGGGCAAAAUAUAUCAAAACCUUUAACAAUAGAUCUCUUAGCUCUAGUAUCGAUAAAGAACGUAGCGAAAUACAAUAAGUAAUACGAAUUGUAGAAUCUAGUAAAUUAUCGAAUCUUUAAACGUAUAUUACGCCCGCUAGUACUCUAGCGGGUAUACCUAUCUGAGCGUUAUUUUAACCCCUUGGGUAACCCCUCCCCUCCCUAGGGGGGCGUGGCCCGGCGUUAGGGGACGGCCUAGGCCGCCCCCGAAAUGUAGUGGCGGCCCCCGCCGCGGCGACCCCUACGCAGUAGCUCCUAGAGAACCUCAUACCGGCGCCCGGCGGCGUGCUACGCCUCGAAACCUUACCAUACUAAGGUUAACCUUAGAUUAGGUAGGGAUACCCGCUAAACUUAAGCAUAUCAAUA
rnacentral:rRNA from 1 species